rnacentral:lncRNA from 1 species
AGAAAAAUAAGCAUAGGCAUGAAGUAAGUCAUUUGGAACAUAGAAAGGAAGAAAGAAGAAACAGUUCUCAUCUUUAGAGGAGAAGAAAAGGGGAAUUGAAGUUUGUACCUGGAGGAGUAUCUUCAGAAGUCUGCAAGAGGAGGAUUUGGCAGGAGGACGGUUCCAAAGGCAGCACCUCCAAGGGGAAGACACGCAAUCAUUGUGCUCCUUCAAACCAAGCUCAGCUCUGCCUUUCAAACCAAACUCCAGGACUGCCAUCUUCUAAUGUGUAAAACAGCAGUAACAAUUCUUACUGUCAAGGUUCCCCCUGCCUUGUCAUCGGGUCUGGAAAGCAACACGCCCAUCAUGGGCCGCUGACUGCAGAAGACAACCCUAGAACAGCCAGGACCCUGUGGGUAUCAGAACCCCGAGGUGAAUGUUCAGCCUUAAUCACACUUCUUGUCGGUAGCACUUACACAUGGA